rnacentral:rRNA from 1 species
AUUGCACGCUGGCGGCAGGCCUAACACAUGCAAGUCGAACGAGUGGCGGACGGGUGAGUAAUGUCUGGGAACCUGCCCGCUGGAGGGGGAUACCUACUGGAAACGGUAGCUAUUACCGCAUACCAUCGAAUGAGCCGAGAUGGGAUUAGCUAGUAGAUGGGGUAACGUCUCACCUAGGCGCCGAUACCUAGCUGGUCUGAGAGGAUGACCAGCCACACUGGAACUUGGACGCGGUCCAGACUCCAACGGGAGGCAGCAGAGGGGAAUAUUGCACAAUGGGCGCAAGCCUGAUGCGGCCAUGCGGCGUGUAGGAAGAAGGCCUUCGGGUUGUAAAGUACUUUCAGUGUGGAGGCGUUAAUCGCAGAAGAAGCACCGGCUAACUCCGUGCGAGCAGCCGCGGUAAUUC